UGGCGGACGGGUGAGUAAUGUCUGGGAAACUGCCUGAUGGAGGGGGAUAACUACUGGAAACGGUAGCUAAUACCGCAUAACGUCGCAAGACCAAAGAGGGGGACCUUCGGGCCUCUUGCCAUCGGAUGUGCCCAGAUGGGACUAGCUAGUAGGUGGGGUAACGGCUCACCUAGGCGACGAUCCCUAGCUGGUCUGAGAGGAUGACCAGCCACACUGGAACUGAGACACGGUCCAG
rnacentral:rRNA from 1 species